rnacentral:rRNA from 1 species
AUGGGGCGCAUUGGCUCUUCCACACUAGCCACGGUCUCAGAACUGAUAGAUGAUUACACAGGCAGCUGGAAUGUGGAAAUCAUUCAAGCAAUUUUCUUGCAACCGGAUGUUGAAGCUAUCCUCAAUAUACCCCUUAACAGCAACGGUGGUCAAGAUUCUUUGGCAUGGGCCUUAGAGAAAUCUGGCAACUACUCUGUAAAAUCCGCGUACCGCUCUCUUGUGACUCGGAACGAGCACCGCGCUCUAGAGGAAGGGACGAUUACAGAAACUUCAUCAGCUAACAAACAGAUGUGGGAUGCCCUUUGGAAAUUACAUGUGGUUCCAAAAGUCCGUGUAUUC